rnacentral:misc_RNA from 1 species
GAUGAAGAACGCAGUGAAAUGCGAUACGUAAUGUGAAUUGCAGAAUUCAGUGAAUCAUCGAAUCUUUGAACGCAUAUUGCGCUCUCUGGUAUUCCGGAGAGCAUGCUUGUUUGAGUAUCAGUAAACACCUCAACUCCCUUUCUUCUUGAAAUGGAGCUGGACUUGAGUGAUCCCAACGCUUUAUUCAUAAAGUGGCGGGUUACUUGAAAUGCAGGUGCAGCUGGACUUUUCUCUGAGCUAUAAGCAUAUCUAUUUAGUCUGCCUCAAAACAGAUUAUUACCUUUGCUGCAGCUAACAUAAAGGAGAUUAGUUCUUGUGCUGACUGAUGCAGGAUUCACAAAGACCGCUUCGGCUGUCUUUGUAAACUCGAUCUCAAAUCAAGUAAGACUACCCGCUGAACUUAAGCAUAUCAAUAAGCGGAGGA